ACACUCCUACGGGAGGCAGCAGUGGGGAAUUUUGGACAAUGGGCGAAAGCCUGAUCCAGCCAUGCCGCGUGCAGGAUGAAGGCCUUCGGGUUGUAAACUGCUUUUGUACGGAACGAAACGGCCUUUUCUAAUAAAGAGGGCUAAUGACGGUACCGUAAGAAUAAGCACCGGCUAACUACGUGCCAGCAGCCGCGGUAAUACGUAGGGUGCAAGCGUUAAUCGGAAUUACUGGGCGUAAAGCGUGCGCAGGCGGUUAUGUAAGACAGUUGUGAAAUCCCCGGGCUCAACCUGGGAACUGCAUCUGUGACUGCAUAGCUAGAGUACGGUAGAAGGGGAUGGAAUUCCGCGUGUAGCAGUGAAAUGCGUAGAUAUGCGGAGGAACACCGAUGGCGAAGGCAAUCCCCUGGACCUGUACUGACGCUCAUGCACGAAAGCGUGGGGAGCAAACAGGAUUAGAUACCCCGGUAGUCCCAUGA
rnacentral:rRNA from 1 species